CCCUUAGAUGUUCUGGGCCGCACGCGUGCUACACUGAGUGGAUCAGCGGGUCAGGUUGCGCGAAAGUGUUUCCUAAUCUUGAAAUCCGCUCGUGAUGGGGAUUGACGGUUGCAAUUUUCCGUCAUGAACGAGGAAUACCUUGUAAGCGCGGGUCAUCAUCCCGCGCUGAAUACGUCCCUGCCCUUUGUACACACCGCCCGUCGCUCCUACCGAUUGAGUGGUCCGGUGAGGCUUUGGGAUCUGAGCGGAAAGAGCGUUUCGCUUUUUCUGCUCGGAAAACUCAGUCGAACCUUAUCAUUUAGAGGAAGGAGAAGUCGUAACA
rnacentral:rRNA from 1 species